GCCCUGCCUUGUGUGGGGCAUUUUUUCGCCCCGCGCACCAGCACCGGUCUUCUAAACCGGUACGUAAAAAGCUGGAAGGACGUGAGAGGUUCGAUUCCUCCGCGGGGUGCCA
rnacentral:tRNA from 1 species